UCCAGGUCAUCCCUAACCUCCCGUAGACCAUGUGAUAGAGCUGCACCGUGCUCGCCCGCAACCGCCGACCGCACCUCGCGUAGAUAACGCUUAUCCCGCAGUCCUCAACGCCCAUAGACGCGCCUAUAUAAGCCCCCGAGGCUCCUCUUUCCAUUGAUAUGUCCCACUCCACCUCUCGUCACUCACAGUCAAUGCCGUCACCGUUUGCAUCUCGCUGUACGGAGCUUCUCCACCGGAGAAAUACGAUGAUGGACUCGUCGGAGACGCCUCCCGUUCGACCGUGCGCCGUCGGAGUUCGCCGGAGCAAAGGAGCUUUUCCACCUUGCCCUGCUCCACCCGGACGCCGUCGAUGCUCCGCACCACCACCGUUCGACCACCCACGCCGAGCUACACCCGCCCGCCUACUUCCUUGUCGGCGCAGGCCGCCGGAGCCGCCGCCCCAUCCACGCCGCCCGCCCAGCACCCGCGCCUACCGAUGCUAGCACCCUCUCGCUGUAAGAAGUCGCCCCUCUGCUUCAUUUGUUAGAUUAGAUUAGGGGUUUUCUUUGUUUUCAGAUUGAAUUGGCAUCUGGUUAACCAGAGUACACUUAAACCAUGCUAUUUAUUUAAAACCGAACGCCGUUUUUUCUUUUUAGCUGUCAUCGCCAUUUUAAUUAAUUGCUGACCAUCUGCUGGUUUGGCUCAGGAGUGAACACCUUCCAGCCACUCGCGUAACGCCACGUGGCUAUGAAUAUGUCUAGUGCAGAUUUGUUUUUUCUGAUUUUUUUCCUAAACUUCGAAUAGCCUCAACUUUUUAAGCAUAGAUCCAAACAAGAUAAAACCAACGGAAAAUUCUUCAUCUCGAAUAGCUCUAUCCAGAGAACCUAUCAUUGCAAACUUUUGCAAUUCAAAUUUGAAUUUAUUUUAGAUUUUAAUUAAAACUCUUUUAGGCCAUAUCUUGCAAACGCCAUACCCGUUUAAGUCGAAUCUUUUUGCACAUCGUCACCCAAGAUAAAUCAUGUACCAUAUUUCAUUUCCACAAUAUUUUUUCACCCAUUUAACUUAUAUUCUUGGUAAUUUUACUAAUAUGCCUUGUAGGAAUACUAGUGGAUAUCACGAUUCUGAACCCUAUUUUCACACCUUUGUUUUAUACUUGGAUAAAUUGCAUGCUAUAUACGUGUGUUGUAUUUUAUUUGGAUUUUGUAAAUAUUUGUGUUGCAUGUUACUUUGAAUUAUAUGAAUAUGAUGUUUAUGUUGGAAAUA